GACUAUCAGCCACUGGUGUCGGCCCUCGACGCUCGUGUUACUCCUGCAACCCUCGACGAGCUCUUCGCCAUGCUGUCGAACUUCGACCAGCGCAUGGCACAGUUCCAUGGAUCCGGCGGCGGUUUCAAAUCUUCCGCAAACCUGGCAUCACGCGGCAGGGGUGGUGGCUCCCGCUCACGUGGCUCCCCGCGCUACAAAGGGCGAUCCUGGUGGCGGCGGCAACGGUCACGGCCACUCUCCUCAGCGCUCGGGUGGCCGAGGUCGCGGGCGCGGGCGCGGUGGUGGAACCAGAACGCGUCCAGAGACUCCGCGGUGCCAAAUAUGCGGGAAGCCCGGUCACACAUCAAAGGAUUGCUGGUACCGUUAUGA
rnacentral:rRNA from 1 species